rnacentral:rRNA from 1 species
GAGUUUGAACCUGGCUCAGGAUGAACGCUGGCGGCGUGCCUAAUACAUGCAAGUCGAGCGAACCACUUCGGUGGUGAGCGGCGAACGGGUGAGUAACACGUAGGUGAUCUGCCCAUCAGACGGGGACAACGAUUGGAAACGAUCGCUAAUACCGGAUAGGACGAAAGUUUAAAGGUGCUUCUGGCACCGCUGAUGGAUGAGCCUGCGGCGCAUUAGCUAGUUGGUAGGGUAAAGGCCUACCAAGGCGACGAUGCGUAGCCGACCUGAGAGGGUGAACGGCCACACUGGGACUGAGACACGGCCCAGACUCCUACGGGAGGCAGCAGUAGGGAAUCUUCGGCAAUGGGCGAAAGCCUGACCGAGCAACGCCGCGUGAAUGAUGAAGGCCUUCGGGUUGUAAAAUUCUGUUAUAAGGGAAGAACGACUUUAGUAGGAAAUGGCUAGAGUGUGACGGUACCUUAUGAGAAAGCCACGGCUAACUACGUGCCAGCAGCCGCGGUAAUACGUAGGUGGCGAGCGUUAUCCGGAAUUAUUGGGCGUAAAGAGCGCGCAGGUGGUUGAUUAAGUCUGAUGUGAAAGCCCACGGCUUAGCCGUGGAGGGUCAUUGGAAACUGGUCGACUUGAGUGCAGAAGA